rnacentral:rRNA from 1 species
UACGUAGGCAGCGAGCGUUGUUCGGAAUUACUGGGCGUAAAGAGUGUGUAGGCGGUGCUCUAAGUUCGGUGUGAAAUCCUCGUGCUCAACUGGGAGGGUGCGCCGGAAACUGGAGUGCUUGAGCGUGGGAGAGGAAAGCGGAAUUCCUGGUGUAGCGGUGAAAUGCGUAGAUAUCAAGGAGGAACACCUGUGGUGUAGACGGCUUUCUGGACCAUAGCUGACGCUGAGACACGAAAGCGUGGGUAGCAAACAGG